ACAAAUAUUUCAUUGACGUACCAAGUUAACUUCACUAAUUAAACUACAUAUGGUAGCCCACACACAUUGUGCCUUACGGUUAGUCCGCUUGGGGAUUUUUAAUAGACCCCCAAACAACUUAAUCGAGGACUUCACCCGUUAAAGUCCAAGGUUUAUAUCCCACAACACCAAUGUCCUAUAUUAGGUUAGCUAGGAGACUAGGCCCUAGAAAACAAGUAUUUAGGGGUGGCAAAAAUGGUGCCAGCAGUCGCGGUUAUACCAUUACCUCAAGCUAACUAACACAAAGUGGGACCAACCACAAGACUAAAAGAUUAACUUCCUACGUAAAAAAUAAAUUACAACCAAACCCAACCAAGUCAUCCACUAAAAGUCCCAACAAACCACAACCUCAAAACCCGGAUUAGAUACCCGACUAUUGUGUGGCCCAACAAAAAGAAUACUACAAGCGAAAGCUCAAACCUCAAACAAUGUGGCGGUGCUUAACUCCUCAUCAGGGGAUCCUGUGGCUUAAACCGAUAAUCCACGAAUACCUUAGCUCUUCUAGCUCUCAGCUUAUGUAUGGCCGUUUACGCUUGCUCAAAAAAGAUCACAAAAGGAAGCAAUGGGGCCAUUCCCCGCCAAUUCAGGUGACAUAUAGCCAACGAAAAGCUGACUCAUGGGAUACAAAUAAACCAACUACCAGACUUAAAAGUUAAACCUUUUAAUAAAGGAGGACUUGAAAGUAAGGCUCACACCAAAUAAAGCCAGCCUGAACAAGAACUUAAGCGCGCACAAAUCGCCCGUCACUCCGGCAGUAAAGUCGGAUAAGUCGUAACAUAGUAGGGGUAAUGGAAAUUGCCCCUAUCAC
rnacentral:rRNA from 1 species